rnacentral:rRNA from 1 species
UACGUAGGGGGCGAGCGUUGUCCGGAUUCAUUGGGCGUAAAGCGCUUUAAGGCGGUUCGGUAAGUCGGGUGUGAAACCUCCAGGCUCAACCUGGAGACGCCACUCGAUACUGCUGUGACUAGAGUUCGGUAGGGGAUCACGGAAUUCCUGGUGUAGCGGUGAAAUGCGCAGAUAUCAGGAGGAACACCGGUGGCGAAGGCGGGUCUCUGGGCCGUAACUGACGCUGAGGAGCGAAAGCAUGGGGAGCGAACAGG